GCUGCACAUUUACCCUUUCCUGUGACACACAACCCACACCACUGAGCCUGCUCUCCCACCACAGAGGCUUUUCCAGCUAAGUUAAUGCAAACUAGUAAGGGAAGGUUUACAAAUGAAAGUCAGCUAAACAAAUAUACAGAAAAAAAGGGGAUUAAAAAAUUUGCCUAAAGCAGCUUUGUAAAGAAGAGCUGAAAUGAUGUUAUCCUUCAAAGAAGUUCCAAUAACCAAGGUCAAGCAAGGGUACUAAUUUCAAGCAGAAGUAAUGUGAUACCCCAGGCAGGCAGGGAGCUAUGGGGAGAUGCAGUUGGAAGGGACAGAGGGAGGCAGAAGAGCUCUUUUUCUGGGUGAUGAGGAGCCAGAGACAGCGAAAAGAGGGGGGAGCCAAGAGUUCAGAGCAAGCAAAUGAAACAAAAAGUCAACGUGAAAAACUCAACGUGAUCUUCUCACUUGCUUCACAUCGUGCAGCAAUAAAAGAUGGAAGCAGCAGCAUAGUGCAACAUGGGUGUAGUGUGUGAAACAGCACAGCACAGUUGCAAAAUGAGGUUUGCUUGAUUUCUGACAGCCUAAAGGGAUGCAAUAUCUUUCUCUGACUGUCCUCCUCCCUGCAGUGAAAAUAGAGAGACCCUGGGUCACCUCAGUAGACUCAAUGCUUGCGUGGAUGAGCAGCACUGUUUUAAAGGCUGCCAGUCUCUCAAAAACCAUCCCUAAAAUUUUGAUUUCUGGUGCUGCAAGGAUGCACUUAAGAUCAAAGAUGUGAAGUUACAAAACGCUGUAGAGCAUUGUACUGGCUGGAGAAUGACUAUUUUACAGCAGCCUGAAAGAAAAAUUACAAUUGUGUUGGCAUGUUCUCCACCUGUCUUUAACAGACUUGCCAUUUCACUGAUGUCAAAAGGCAAAACAGGAGGAAAACCUUCUAGAGGAAGGAGAAGAAACACAACAAAUGGCAGAAAGAAGUGGUGGAAAUCAGUGACACUUUGGUGUGGGAUUCAGGGUUUAAAAAAAGGUGAUCAAGAACCUCUGAAACAGGAGAUGUCACAUCAAAUAAAAUAUGACAUCAA